GCCAAAAACCUAGCCCAACUAAACACAAAUGUAACCAAACCUAUUAACCUCACUUAAUAAAUCAUUUUAACGUUUUAGUAAAGGAGAUUGAAAAACUUAUUGGAGCUAUAAUAAUAGUACCGCAAGGGAAAGAUGAAAUAUUUAAUGAAAAAAUUUUAAGCAAUAAAAAGUAAAGAUUACCCCUUGUACCUUUUGCAUCAUGGUUUAACUAGUCUAAUCAAGCAAAACGUAUUUUAGUUUGACUUCCCGAAACUAAGUGAGCUACUUCAGGGCAGCUAAAAGAGCGAACCCGUCUCUGUAGCAAAAGAGUGGGAUGACCCUUAAGUAGCGGUGAUAGACCUAACGAACUUAGUGAUAGCUGGUUACUCAAAAAAUGGAUCUAAGUCCAACCUGAAAUCCACACUAUAGUACACCAAAACAACUACUUUAAUUUCAGAGUAAUUCAAAUAAGGUACAGCCUAUUUGAAACAGGAUACAACCUAGACUAAUGGAUAAGACUAGCCCUUUUGUACAAUCAAGUGGGCCUAAAAGCAGCCAUCUUUAAAAUAGCGUCAAAGCUUAAUUGUUCUAACGCCUAAUUACCAAAUUUUUAUCUUAAUCCUCUAUCAUUAUUGAGUAAUUCUAUAUUAUUAUAGAAAAUUUUAUGUUAAAACUAGUAACAAGAAGAAGACUCUUCUCUUAAAUGUAAGUGUAAAUCAGAAAGGACAAACCACUGAUAUUUAACGUCACUGAGCCAAAAGUAGAAACCUAUCAAGAAAACCCUACUCCCACUUACGUUAACCUAACACAAGAGCAUUUCAAGAAAGAUUAAAAGAAAAAGAAGGAACUCGGCAAACAUUAACCUCGCCUGUUUACCAAAAACAUCGCCUCUUGAAUAUCUAUAAGAGGUCCAGCCUGCCCAGUGACCAUGUUCAACGGCCGCGGUAUCCUAACCGUGCGAAGGUAGCGUAAUCACUUGUUCUUUAAAUGUGGACUAGUAUGAAUGGCACCACGAAGGUUAUACUGUCUCCUUUUUCUAAUCAGUGAAACUAAUCUCCCCGUGAAGAAGCGGGAAUAUAAUUAUAAGACGAGAAGACCCUAUGGAGCUUAAUAACUAACAUAGCACUUGCCACAUAAUAUAAAAAUUUCCGGAAAAUUUUAAUUUAUAUUGACAAUUUGACUAUAAGUUUUUGGUUGGGGUGACCGCGGAGAAUAGCACAACCUCCAUGAUGAAUGAACUGUUUCUAAACUAAGACCUACUGGUCUAAGUAUCAAUAUAUUGACAUCCAUUGAUCCAAUAUAAUUGAACAACGAACCAAGUUACCCUAGGGAUAACAGCGCAAUCUACUUCAAGAGCUCCUAUCGACAAGUGGGUUUAC
rnacentral:rRNA from 1 species